CAUACACUGACAGAAAUACUGACACCCACACACUGACAGAUAUACUGACACCCACAUACACUGAGAAAUACUGACACACACACACAGGCACAUACACUGACACACACAGACUGAUAUACUGACACACACACACACAGACAUACUGGCACACAGACAGAUAUACUGACACAUGCAUACACAUGCACUAACAGACAUACUGACGCACUGACAGACAUACUGACACAUACACAUACUGACACACACAGAUAUACACACACAUAUAUACUGACACACAGACAGACAGACAUACUGACACACACACACAGACAUACUGACACACACACAGACAUGCUGACACACA